AUUGAACGCUGGCGGCAGGCCUAACACAUGCAAGUCGAACGGUAACAGGGAUCAGCUUGCUGAUUCGCUGACGAGUGGCGGACGGGUGAGUAAUGUCUGGGAAACUGCCUGAUGGAGGGGGAUAACUACUGGAAACGGUAGCUAAUACCGCAUAACGUCGCAAGACCAAAGAGGGGGACCUUCGGGCCUCUUGCCAUCGGAUGUGCCCAGAUGGGAUUAGCUAGUAGGUGGGGUAACGGCUCACCUAGGCGACGAUCCCUAGCUGGUCUGAGAGGAUGACCAGCCACACUGGAACUGAGACACGGUCCAGACUCCUAAGGGAGGCAGCAGUGGGGAAUAUUGCACAAUGGGCGCAAGCCUGAUGCAGCCAUGCCGCGUGUAUGAAGAAGGCCUUCGGGUUGUAAAGUACUUUCAGCGGGGAGGAAGGGAGUAAAGUUAAUACCUUUGCUCAUUGACGUUACCCGCAGAAGAAGCACCGGCUAACUCCGUG
rnacentral:rRNA from 1 species